UUUUUCUGUUUUAAAACACAAAACAACACGUAGUGCAUUAGAAACAUCAAAACUACAUGCUGUGUGAAUAUCUCAUUUCCCAUUUUGGCUCUAAGAACACCUCUAUCGGUGUGUCUAGGGAAGAGUUCUAAAGUAAAAAUGCAAAAAAAAUAAAUGAAAAAAGCAUUAAUUAGUUAGAACCGGUGCUAAAUUAAGGGUAAGUAGAAUUGGUAAGAACCGCCUACGUGGCACACGCAUAUUGGCUUCUUGUUUCUAUUGGUCGUCUCUCUCUUCGUCGGUUUUUUUUGUGUGAGAAAUCUCGUCUUCUCUCCUUCUCCAAAUCCAUCCAUGAAAUCAUCUUGAAGAAUCAAAGCACGGAGAUGUUUCAAGGUAGACACAAUAUGUGACUUCAAUGAAGAAAAGGGAUUACUUUCUGCUUCUGGGUAUCAUCAUUCUCCUCUUCCUCUCUGGGUCUUUAGCUUCAGCUCCUUCAUCAAUUUCACCAGCGAGUCAGUCUCACUCUGUUUUCUGCAAUGCCUAUGAUUCUUUUAUAAUGCUUCUUCUUAAUAUUUAACUUUUGUUUUAGUGGUAAUUAAAAAGAAUCGUCACUGCCUUGUUGUUUUGUUUUUGUUUUCAUAUGUGAAGAAACAGAGCCUCUCCUCCAGAGUAGAUAUGUUUCUUUUAACGGAAAAAGACAAAAAUAGCAUUAAAUCAAGUUUUUGUUCUCAAA